CCCCCCAGCCCGGGCCUGGAUAGACACGCCCCCGACGCCACGCCCCGGCCUCCCGGGUGGACCCGCCCCCAGGCUCACACCCGAGAGUCUAGGCUUGCGGCCUGAGUCCGAGGGUCUGUGGCCUCCACCCACGGGGAACGUGAGAGCCCCAGGCGUGAAGCCGGAGGCCACCCGGGACACCUGGGGCCCCUGGCCUGCCAGCUGCAGCGUCCUCACGCUGUCCUGAAGCCUCACCCACGAAUACUAGAGACUUGAGCCUCGCAAAACAAUGUUCCGCGUACCUGCAGCCUGACCAUCGCAGGCCUCUGCUCGUGGCCCGGAGAUUGCACGGGAUCUGAUCAGAUCACGCCCUGGGGACUUAAAUCGGCUGUGGACCGCUGGACUGCACAGUGAGGCCUGUGUCUGCUUUGCACACCCCUGAGGCUCCACUCCAGGCACUGUGGAUAGCAUGCAGCAGAUGCUUAAUAAACGCCAUCUGUGCAGUGGACACGGAAUGUGCUGACUAGGCCUCUUCUGCUUCACCCUGACCCAGGUCCCAUUUUUUCUGGCUCCUUCAUCUCCUUUCUCUGUUCUGGGCAUGGGCCCCUGGGACUUGUGUGUGCUGGACAAGCACUGCACCAAUAAACCAUGCUUCCAGGCUUGUGAUUAUCUUGAUAAAUGUCUAGAAGAUUAGUAAAGCACACGUUUGGGCAUGUCUGGAUGAGUCAAGAGGCCAUGAUCUUGAGGAUUAUAUCUGGUUGCUGGCUCCUUCCUCUCUAGCACUCUUCCACCCUGUUCUGUUUCUCAGAUGCCAUGAGUUGAGCAGCUGUCUCCGCCAUGCCCUUCUGCCACAACGUUUCUGCCUUGCAGCCAGUCAACCAUGGAUUCAAACCUCUGAAAUUAUGAGCCAAAAUAAAUUCCUCCUUUAAGCUGUUUAUGUCAAGCAUUUGGUAACCAGCAAUGAAAAAUUGACUAAUACAUAGGGCUUAGAUAAAAUUCACCACUGUCACCCCCAUUCUGAAGAGCCACCCAGUUACUUCCUGUUCAAAGGCCUUUUUUAUUGGCAUUAUAGCUCUCUUUAAUCUGUUAUAGUUUAGAUAUAGAAUGUCCCCUAAAAGUCUCAUGUGUUCAGACAUGGAACAUUUUGAGAGUGAUUGGAUCAUGGCAGCACGAUAUUCAUCAGUGGAUUGAUCUAUUGAAUUCGUAGCUAAAUGUACUGUUAGGAGGUGGGGCCUGGUAGGAAGAGGUAUGUCGCUAAGGGAUGUGACUUUGGAGGGUGUAUUCCCCCUCCAGCUCCUCCUCUCUCUCUACUUCCUGACUUACAUGAACUUAGCUUUCCUCCACCAUGCCCUUCCACCAGGCUAUUUCUGCCUCAGAGCCAACUGACCAUGAUCUGAACACUGUGAAAACUGUGAACCAAAAUAAACCUCCCCUUUAAACUUAAGGUAUUGAGUGUUUUGGCCCAGCAAUGGUUAAGUGACUAAUAUACCAUCAUCUGAGAGUUUCCUGUCAUCUUUACACAUACUGCUUCUCCCCUCCAGCAAGUGCAUUGACUGUGAAGCAAAUUACUUACAAGUUCUCUUACUUAAACAAGGACCCAUUCAAGACCCUGUAUCUCAUUUUGUAUCUAUAAUUUUGAAUUUCUGUUUUUUAAAAAAAGCCUCUAAAUGUACAAGAUUUAUACCCCAAAAAUCUGGUUGUGAACUAGGAAUGUCCAUCCAUACUAUCCCCACAAGAUCCUAAAGAGAGCCCUAUGCAGAGUGUGUGUUUGGUAAAUGUUUGUGUGACAAGAAAGAGAGGAAAAGAAAGAGGCAGCCAGGGCAGAGGCUGGGACAAAGGCCCUGGAGGCUGGCCAGCUUUUACAGGAACAAAGGCAUUAGGGAGGUGGGCAGGAACUGGGUGAUUAUUUUAUUGGCCCCCACAAAAUAUUGUAAGAGGUACUAAUUAUGAGGCUUAAGAGAUUUGAGUUAGCAAGUACUGAAGCAUGUCUUUGGAGUGGGACAGGGAACAGGCUGGCACAGCCAUUUCCAUGAACAGAUGUCCUUCAGUCAAUGUGUAGACCCCAGAGGUAGAGAUGCUUUCACAACAACACCUCUUCUUGUUUCUAACUCCUGGGUUCUGGUUCCCAUGUCAGUGUUUGCCAGGCAGUGCUGCAGAUAUCAACAACUCUGAAUCUCAAUGACAAAGUGCAACAUAGAACCUUCUCCUGUGCUCAUAUUCCUUCCUGCUAAUGGCCCAGUACAGCUGUGGCCCUAGUCUCCUUCAUGAACACUGACCAAAGAAUAGCCCAUUCCGAUGAUGAAGCAAUAGCAGAACCACACUAUGACUUUAAAUAUAUCAGUUCUGAUGUUUAGUCUUUCAGAGAUCCUUUAGGUUAAAACUGAGAAAGGGACACCUGAUAUCAGAGGAGUAGGAAAUCUACCCUUGGAGCAGCUAUGUAGGGAGUAGCAGCAAGAGAUCAUGAAGUCUACUACAAGUGAGGAGGUAGAAAGAGGAACUUUUAAUAAAUCUGGUGAGAAAAUGGAGAAUAGGAAGUAGACGUAGAUUACUGUGUAUUACAGAGGAAGACACUUCUGGGUGGCACCCCCUGUCCAAGCAGCCCUAUGCUUUCCUGAGGACAGUAAAGCUGACUAGAGUGAUCAGAAGCACAGGUGCAGCACAAACCUGACAAGAGUGUCAUGUGUGAGAGCAGUAUCUGUUGGUGGGAGUCUGUCAGAUGGCAGCUAAAAAAUAGCAACACUCAAUAGGGCUGGGGAUUUAGCUCAGUGGUUCUGCCGCUUGCCUUGAAAGCACAAGGUCCCAAGUUCGAUCCCUGGUACCAAAAAAAAAAGAAAGAAAGAAAGAAAUAGCAACACUCCACUGCAGAACAAUGAAUGCACCAAACCUUGGAGUGCAAAGUUUUAAAACCCUCAUUCCUUUGUAUCUGUUCCCCCCAGGAGCUGGAGGAAUAGUGGCCAGCCAAGCCAAGGGGAGCUUGUCAACCGGGUUCAAAGGGUAUCUUGAUGGGUACAAACAGAACACCUGCUCCGGGCCAGGCAUAGCCUCAUGGGGAGCAAGGCAAGGAAUAGCCACACAAUGAUUCUCUGAUGAGGACCAAGCAGGGGGACCAGGGAAGGGCAUAAGCUUUACAUAAAGUCCAGAUCUUCAGAAGCCUGGACUCAUUCUGCUUAAGAGCAGGUCUGGCUUUUGCUCAGAUUCUUCCAACGAUGAGCUGCAUGACCCGUGGCAAGUCAACCUGCUUCUCUAAAACUCAGCUUCCUUAUUUGUAGAACAGGCAAUCAAUACUCUCACUGUGCCGUGGUGAUUAAAGGAAUGUCAGCAAUGGUUUUAGGGAGCCAGCUACAUGGCUUUCAUCUAUUAAGAUAGAAGGUAGGGACCUUCACAAGAAGGGAAGGAAAAUAGGGUUUUCUGGAGGGCUCUGCCUUGGAUUUGACUUUAGACCUGAAUGUCAGAGAGGAUAAGAGGAACAACAUGAUUCCCUCCUUGUUGCAUCUAUUUAGGAUUCUCACAUUUUCAAUCCCUUUGUCCCACUUUGGGUGAUCUCACCAUGAAAACUCCUUUGUAGGCCAAAUUAUUUAGAUCCAGAGAAAAGUCCAUUUCUGAUUGUUCUACCCUUGCCCUUUCUUUUCUUCUCACAUCAGUAUUUCUGGCCUUGCCAUGUUGGCCUGGCUGCCAUAAUAUGUAUAUUUUUUGGAAUUGUUUCAUUCUAAGCUAUAGCUAUGACAGUAUGGGGAAAAAUAAAAAAGAAAUGGAAAAGACAUGUCAAGUGUUUCGCACAGUAUAAUUAUUUUCUUAGAGAUGUCAUUCAAAUAACUAGAACCACAGGAAGAAACAUUUUGAAACAUACAAGGAUAAAUUAAAUCAAAGAGUAUGAUAUUCUGAAAGAAAAAAUAAAGCAAUACAUUAUUAUUCUUUGAUGUCAAGUUUUGUGCCUUAGGGACAAAAAGCCAUCACCAAAAUUUCACCCAAAAAAUGUCUUCUCUGUAACAUUUCUGACUUCGGCUACAGAUGGAUAUUUACUCUGAAGAAGGAAAAGAAAAGAAAAAAAACCAUGAGCUUACUCAUACACAUGCACACAUGUGCAGACACCCCAACACACUCCUCUAUCGAAUAGUCGAUAAUGUAAAAUAAUGUAAAAUAGGAAGAAAAGGUCCAAAGGGGUAGGGGUAGUGGGAGGGGCA